GUCCUGGCUGUAAACGGUGCGCGUUUGCUGUAAAAGGAAUCGACCCCUUUUGUGGCGAAGCCAACGCGUUAAACGCGCCGCCUGGGGAGUACGGUCGCAAGAUUAAAACUCAAAGAAAUUGACGGGGCCUGCACAAGCGGUGGAGUAUGUGGCUCAAUUCGAUGCAACGCGAAGAACCUUACCUGGCCUUGACAUGCAAGUAGUAGGACCCCGAAAGGGGGACGAGGUAGCAAUACCAGCUUGCACAGGUGCUGCAUGGCUGUCGU
rnacentral:rRNA from 1 species